UGAGGGUGCUUCCUUUCAGGGGAGCAGGAACCUAGCGGCUCUGAACACGUGAUACAGUUUCUAAGCAGAAUGCUUUCGAGACCUAAACAUAAGUUUAGGUACAUCUCUGUGCAGCAUUGGUCUCUCUGUGCAAUAAAUUAGAAGGGGAAAAAAUAGUAUUUGUGGGUAAACUUGGCCACGACAGCUAAAAUGCACUCAGAGAGUGCUGAGCUCCUUCAAGGGAAUUCCAGGAGCCUGAGGCAGACACAGAGGUCUAACUGGACAAAGAGAUCCAGCUUACGGGGGAGGAGGGUUUGACCGUGGGUCUUUCAGGGCAUUAUCUAUGGAAGAAAAUCCAAUGGAAAUUUCUCUUGACUGUGCUGUACAUCUGGCUCUUAUUCAACGCUUUAAAGUCUAUGGAGUUACGGCAGUAGGAAUGGUGGAAUGGAAUUAAGGUCCAAGCGACGUGGCUGCUCCUGGGAUGUGCGGAGUGCUUUUUAAGGCAGUUCCAUUAUCCUGUUCAUGUAAGGGGUGGUUCAUGGGAGUCUGAAUUUCUCAGCAAUAUUGAAACGAUCAUCCAGUUUAAAUCACUGGUUUAAAGCAUAGCAAAUCGCUCAUUUCCUCUCCAAGCUUUGAUUCCCAAAAGUAUAAUUGCCCCAAAAUAAUAUAAUAGAUGCUUUAAAAGAUGAAGAAAAAAAGUGAAAAUUAGCCUAACAUCUUUCCUGAACUAAUGGCAAUCACCAUUUAAACCCAGGGCCACAUCUACAGAUCUCCCAGGACAUUGCUCCUGUGGCUUUUCAUGCCAAUAAAGCUGUGGCGGGAGAGAACACAGAUCUUCUAUUUCUCUCAUCACAGGUCUUCACCACGUGAUGGACAAAGGGGCAAACCUCACAUACCUUCAUGUGCAGUACCCACUUCAUUACAGCAGAACCUUUUCUCUCAAGUAAAACCAGUAGGAGCUGUUAUGCAGCAGAGAUCAGUGUGCAGGGCUGCAGACGGUGUCUGCACGCAGCAGCAGAGCUGGUGAGUCUCAGGAGCAGCCAUAAGCAGCGGCUUCGGAGAGGAGAGAAAGCAGCCGUGUUGCACAAUUACAUCGGCAAUGGGAAGAAGAGAUUUCUUCUGAAUCCCACGCGGUGAUUAUCUGAUCCGCUGGAAAAUGAGCGGUGACAUACUUUUUAUUUCAGCUAAUGUAACUCAGACCUGUAAGGAAGGUGAUUCUGCUAUAUGACCGUAUUAUCUAAAUUGCUUUGUCGCCAACGCAUCGAAAACUGAAUAUAAGACUGACUGCACAUAAUUGAGUGCUGACUCACCCUCCGAUUGGGAUAAAUGGUGCAGUAUUCCAGGAUGUCCUGGAGCUUUCUAUAGUCUCACAAUCAUACGUGAAAAUUUCUGAUUGAUUUUUCUCCACUCCAGGCAAACUUGUGUUCCCUGCUCCUAUUUGGGGCUGAUGGAACAAAUCCUCAGCUGUCACACGGUGUCUUCCCCCUGCUCCCUCAAGUUCAUCCAUUUUCUGCUGAAGCUCUCAUCUUUCAUCCUGGCUGCACAGUUGCCUCCCUUGUGAUUUUCCCAUAUCCGGGCUCUCCAUAUUCAUAGCCCUGUCUGACCUCCAGCUCUACCUCCCUGGUUUCUAAGGCUACAUAGCUGGGAACGCUGUCUCACAAAAUGCUUUUCCAUAAAAUCUCCAGUUCGGUCACAUCUGAGGCUGUACCAUUUUACAUACAUGGCACAGCUCCUGGCAGACCAUUUAAAUAAAAGCAGUGCAAAC
rnacentral:lncRNA from 1 species